rnacentral:rRNA from 1 species
UACGUAGGGUGCAAGCGUUAAUCGGAAUUACUGGGCGUAAAGGGCGCGUAGGCGGCCGAUCAAGUCAGAUGUGAAAGUCCUGGGCUUAACCUGGGGACUGCAUUUGAUACUGAUUGGCUUGAAUUCGGGAGAGGAUAGCGGAAUUCCCAGUGUAGAGGUGAAAUUCGUAGAUAUUGGGAAGAACACCGGUGGCGAAGGCGGCUAUCUGGACCGACAUUGACGCUGAGGCGCGAAAGCGUGGGGAGCAAACAGG